UGGCUCAGUUGGUUGAGCAUCUGACUCUUGAUCAGAUGAUCUCAGGAUCAUGAGUUCAAGCCUCAU
rnacentral:tRNA from 1 species